rnacentral:rRNA from 1 species
CAGACAGCCAGGAUGUUGGCUUAGAAGCAGCCAUCAUUUAAAGAAAGCGUAAUAGCUCACUGGUCGAGUCGGCCUGCGCGGAAGAUGUAACGGGGCUAAACCAUGCACCGAAGCUGCGGCAGCGACGCUUAGGCGUUGUUGGGUAGGGGAGCGUUCUGUAAGCCGUUGAAGGUGGCCUGUGAGGGUUGCUGGAGGUAUCAGAAGUGCGAAUGCUGACAUAAGUAACGAUAAUGCGGGUGAAAAACCCGCACGCCGGAAGACCAAGGGUUCCUGUCCAACGUUAAUCGGGGCAGGGUGAGUCGACCCCUAAGGCGAGGCCGAAAGGCGUAGUCGAUGGGAAACAGGUUAAUAUUCCUGUACUUGGUGUUACUGCGAAGGGGGGACGGAGAAGGCUAUGUUGGCCGGGCGACGGUUGUCCCGGUUUAAGCGUGUAGGUGUGUGUUCCAGGUAAAUCCGGUUCACUUUAACACUGAGGCGUGAUGACGAGGCACUACGGUGCUGAAGUGACAAAUGCCCUGCUUCCAGGAAAAGCCUCUAAGCAUCAGGUAACAUCAAAUCGUACCCCAAACCGACACAGGUGGUCAGGUAGAGAAUACCAAGGCGCUUGAGAGAACUCGGGUGAAGGAACUAGGCAAAAUGGUGCCGUAACUUCGGGAGAAGGCACGCUGAUAUGUAGGUGAAGUGGUUUACCCAUGGAGCUGAAAUCAGUCGAAGAUACCAGCUGGCUGCAACUGUUUAUUAAAAACACAGCACUGUGCAAACACGAAAGUGGACGUAUACGGUGUGACGCCUGCCCGGUGCCGGAAGGUUAAUUGAUGGGGUUAUCCGUAAGGAGAAGCUCUUGAUCGAAGCCCCGGUAAACGGCGGCCGUAACUAUAACGGUCCUAAGGUAGCGAAAUUCCUUGUCGGGUAAGUUCCGACCUGCACGAAUGGCGUAAUGAUGGCCAGGCUGUCUCCACCCGAGACUCAGUGAAAUUGAACUCGCUGUGAAGAUGCAGUGUACCCGCGGCAAGACGGAAAGACCCCGUGAACCUUUACUAUAGCUUGACACUGAACACUGGUCCUUGAUGUGUAGGAUAGGUGGGAGGCUUUGAAGUGUGGACGCCAGUCUGCAUGGAGCCAUCCUUGAAAUACCACCCUUUAAUGGCUGGUGUUCUAACGUGGGCCCGUAAUCCGGGUUGCGGACAGUGUCUGGUGGGUAGUUUGACUGGGGCGGUCUCCUCCUAAAGAGUAACGGAGGAGCACGAAGGUCAGCUAAUCCUGGUCGGACAUCAGGAGGUUAGUGCAAUGGCAUAAGCUGGCUUGACUGCGAGCGUGACGGCGCGAGCAGGUGCGAAAGCAGGUCAUAGUGAUCCGGUGGUUCUGAAUGGAAGGGCCAUCGCUCAACGGAUAAAAGGUACUCCGGGGAUAACAGGCUGAUACCGCCCAAGAGUUCAUAUCGACGGCGGUGUUUGGCACCUCGAUGUCGGCUCAUCACAUCCUGGGGCUGAAGUAGGUCCCAAGGGUAUGGCUGUUCGCCAUUUAAAGUGGUACGCGAGCUGGGUUUAGAACGUCGUGAGACAGUUCGGUCCCUAUCUGCCGUGGGCGCUGGAGAAUUGAGGGGGGCUGCUCCUAGUACGAGAGGACCGGAGUGGACGCAUCACUGGUGUUCGGGUUGUCAUGCCAAUGGCAUUGCCCGGUAGCUAAAUGCGGAAGAGAUAAGUGCUGAAAGCAUCUAAGUACGAAACUUGCCCCGAGAUGAGUUCUCCCUGACUCCUUGAGAGUCCUGAAGGAACGUUGAAGACGACGACGUUGAUAGGCCGGGUGUGUAAGCGCAGCGAUGCGUUGAGCUAACCGGUACUAAUGAACCGUGAGGCUUAACCUU